rnacentral:rRNA from 1 species
CCUACGGGUGGCAGCAGUAGGGAAUCUUUCACAAUGGGCGAAAGCCUGAUGGAGCAACGCCGCGUGCAGGAUGAAGGCCUUCGGGUUGUAAACUGCUUUUAUAAGCGAGAAAUAUGAUGGUAACUUAUGAAUAAGGAUCGGCUAACUACGUGCCAGCAGCCGCGGUCUUACGUAGGAUCCGAGCAUUAUCCGGAGUGACUGGGUGUAAAGAGUUGCGUAGGUGGCAUAAUAAGUAGCUAGUGAAAUCUGGUGGCUCAACCAUUCAGACUAUUAGCUAAACUGUUAAGCUCGAGACCGUUAGGGGUAACUGGAAUGUCUGGUGUAGGAGUGAAAUGCGUAGAUAUUAGAAGGAACACCAAUAGCGUAGGCAGGUUACUGGGACGGUUCUGACACUAAGGCACGAAAGCGUAGGGAGCAAACGGGAUUAGAUACCCGGGUAGUC